rnacentral:misc_RNA from 1 species
UUGAUUCUUUUGUAUUAUUCAGACAACACACAGAUUACAGCAUAGAGGCGACGUCCGAAAAGGACGCCGAAGCACGGUGUUUGCUUCCACAGCAUUCAAUAAUGAUCCCUCCGCAGGUUCACCUACGGAGA